GACAGAGGGUGCAAACGUUGUUCGGAAUUACUGGGCGUAAAGCGUGUGUAGGCGGCCACGUAAGUCGGAUGUGAAAGCCCUGGGCUCAACCCAGGAAGUGCACUCGAUACUGCGUGGCUCGAGUACUGGAGAGGUUGGUGGAAUUCUCGGUGUAGAGGUGAAAUUCGUAGAUAUCGAGAGGAACACCGGUGGCGAAGGCGGCCAACUGGACAGAUACUGACGCUGAGGCACGAAAGCGUGGGGAGCAAACAGG
rnacentral:rRNA from 1 species